rnacentral:rRNA from 1 species
UACGUAGGGUGCAGGCGUUAAUCGGAAUUACUGGGCGUAAAGCGUGCGCAGGCGGUUUGCUAAGACAGGUGUGAAAUCCCCGGGCUUAACCUGGGAACUGCGCUUGUAACUGGCAAGCUUGAGUGUGGCAGAGGGGGGUGGAAUUCCACGUGUAGCAGUGAAAUGCGUAGAGAUGUGGAGGAACACCGAUGGCGAAGGCAGCCCCCUGGGCUAACACUGACGCUCGUGCACGAAAGCGUGGGGAGCAAACAGG